AUUGAACGCUGGCGGCAGGCCUAACACAUGCAAGUCGAGCGGAUGACGGGAGCUUGCUCCUUGAUUCAGCGGCGGACGGGAGAGUAAUGCCUAGGAAUCUGCCUGGUAGUGGGGGACAACGUUUCGAAAGGAACGCUAAUACCGCAUACGUCCUACGGGAGAAAGCAGGGGACCUUCGGGCCUUGCGCUAUCAGAUGAGCCUAGGUCGGAUUAGCUAGUUGGUGAGGUAAUGGCUCACCAAGGCAACGAGCCGUAACUGGUCUGAGAGGAUGAGCAGUCACACUGGAACUGAGACACGGUCCAGACUCCUACGGGAGGCAGCAGUGGGGAAUAUUGGACAAUGGGCGAAAGCCUGAUCCAGCCAUGCCGCGUGUGUGAAGAAGGUCUUCGGAUUGUAAAGCACUUUAAGUUGGGAGGAAGGGCAGUAAGUUAAUACCUUGCUGUUUUGACGUUACCGACAGAAUAAGCACCGGCUAACUCUGUGCCAGCAGCCGCCGCGG
rnacentral:rRNA from 1 species